rnacentral:lncRNA from 1 species
AUUAGAACUGGCUAUGUGGAUAUGAGAGUUGUCUAACUGUAGCAUUUGAUAAUAGCUAUGUUCUAAGUUCUCUAAAAGGUAGAUUUGCCUUUUGUCUUCCUCAGUUCUAAUGAUCUAUAUUUUAUUCUUACAUUCUGUGUUCUAAGAUUUCACCCAUCUCUCACAUUCUGUUCUAAGAACUCAUCCUUCUCUGACAUUCUGGGUUCUAAGGUGCCUUCCAACUCUGAUAUUCUUCUCUCUAAGACCCCUCCCAGUUCUGACAUUCAAUACUCUAAGGUCCCUUCUGACUGACAUUUUAUGUUCUAAGGUCCCUCCAAGUCCUGACAUUCUGGAUUUUAAGUGGAAAGAACUUCGUAUUUGGAGUCAAGAGAACUGUACAAAGCACCAAGGAGAGAAAAGGCAGAGACAGGAUUAUUUAUGCAUUAAAACAAAAGCCUUGAAUGCUGAACAACCUAUCUCCUGUUCAUUUCUUGGACACUGAGUCUCCCCUGAGCCCAUGGGGUAGCAAUUUCCUACUCACCUCCUAUAGCCACUGGAUAUUAGCAGGGUAACCUGGUUCACUUGUGCUAUAUCCUGUCUGAAGAAAACCAUUUUUCCCCAUGUUAACAACUAUUUUUUAUUCCUGUAAAGUAGGUAGUGCAUGUGUUAUCAUCCCCAUUGACAGAAGAGAAAACCAAGACUCUAGGUUGUGGCUGUAGAAUGGCAGAAUAUUAGAGCUGAAGAUACCUUAGAGAACAUCAAGCCUAAUGGGUACUGGGCAAGUCUAAACAUCCCUGCCAGAGGCAUGUACAGCUUCUUCUUGAGAGACUCCAGUGGCAUCAAGCUCACAAUCUCACAAGGUUUGGAUAGCUCUAAUUGUUAGGAAGUUAAAAUGUUCAUAAGGGACCCCCAGAAGCUUCACAACUGCUCUUUGUUUUGUCUUCUGGGGCCAAACAGAACUGGUCUAAUCCAUUUUCCACAUGACAGACCUUCAAAUAUUUGAAGACAACUCUCAUAUUCCCCUUAUGUCUUCUCUUUUCCAGGCUAAGUAUCUCUAGCUCCUUCAUCUGAGUCUGUGACGUGGUCUCUUAUGCAUCCUCUCAGGAAUUUUAGUUUCCUGUUCAUAUGAUACAUGAACCAAAGCAGGAGACCAAGUAUAGUAUAGUAUAGUAGUAGUCUCUCAGUAACCGAGAAUGACAAUUGUCUUUGUGCGCUUUCAUCUGUGAUGUACCCUCAUAUGGCUUGAAGAGGGUGGGGAUAGAUGAGUGUGCACAAAAACACUUGUGCGUGAAGGAGAUUUAAGUGGAAAAGUCGAUGCACAGAGACAGUCCCACUCUCAAUAAAUCUAAAUAGUCCCCAUCCCCA